rnacentral:siRNA from 1 species
UAAAGUAACAUGAUGAUAAA